rnacentral:miRNA from 1 species
UCUAGCAUCGAGCACCCGCCU